rnacentral:lncRNA from 1 species
GUUCCUCAUAGUUUAUUGGUCGUAGUGUGAUAUGAAUGUUAGUCUGUCGUCUUACCAAGAGGGUGUGGCUUUCCCUUUUUCUCUCUUUUCUGGCUUCUUACUCUGUUAACACAUUUUGAUGAACUCUUGAUUAUUGUCUACUCUGAUGCUAACAGAUUUAGUAGCUGCCUCCUUUUUUCAGCUCAUCCAUUAACAAAACCAAACAUUAAAACAAAAGAUUAAACCAUUUAGGUGACUUUCACCAGUUGAAUUCCCAGGCGAUUAAAGUAUUUUAGAUAGAUAAAAAGAAUUUUGGUGAUCAUGGCUUGAAUCCUUUUAGCCACAUCAUUUUAAAAUACCAUGUCUCCUUAGUGAAAAGUAAUAUAUGUCACAUUCAGAGAAGUUGUUAUAUAUGUGUAAUAUUGUAGGUUGCAAUUCUGUCCACAUCAUAUGCUAAAGAAGAGAGUUAUAAAUUGAGUCACUAGAGUAGCUACAACAGCUGUUA